AGUGAACGCUGGCGGUAGGCCUAACACAUGCAAGUCGAACGGCAGCACAGUAAGAGCUUGCUCUUACGGGUGGCGAGUGGCGGACGGGUGAGGAAUACAUCGGAAUCUACUUUUUCGUGGGGGAUAACGUAGGGAAACUUACGCUAAUACCGCAUACGACCUACGGGUGAAAGCAGGGGAUCUUCUGACCUUGCGCGAUUGAAUGAGCCGAUGUCGGAUUAGCUAGUUGGCGGGUUAAAGGCCCACCAAGGCGACGAUCCGUAGCUGGUCUGAGAGGAUGAUCAGCCACACUGGAACAGAGACACGGUCCAGACUCCUACGGGAGGCAGCAGUGGGGAAUAUUGGACAAUGGGCGCAAGCCUGAUCCAGCCAUACCGCGUGGGUGAAGAAGGACUUCGGGUUGUAAAGCCCUUUUGUUGGGAAAGAAAAGCAGCAGGUUAAUACCCCGCUGUUCUGACGGUACCCAAAGAAUAAGCACCGGCUAACUUCGUG
rnacentral:rRNA from 1 species